rnacentral:rRNA from 1 species
AAAUUGAAGAGUUUGAUCAUGGCUCAGAUUGAACGCUGGCGGCAGGCCUAACACAUGCAAGUCGAACGGUAACAGGAAACAGCUUGCUGUUUUGCUGACGAGUGGCGGACGGGUGAGUAAUGUCUGGGAAACUGCCUGAUGGAGGGGGAUAACUACUGGAAACGGUAGCUAAUACCGCAUAACGUCGCAAGACCAAAGAGGGGG